rnacentral:tRNA from 1 species
GACCCCAUAGCUCAAGUGGAUAGAGCCCAGGUUUCCUAAACCUGUUAUCCCCGUUCAACUCGGGGUGGGGUUACCA